CCUACGGGCGGCUGCAGUCGAGGAUCUUCGGCAAUGGGCGCAAGCCUGACCGAGCGACGCCGCGUGUGUGACGAAGGCCUUCGGGUUGUAAAGCACUGUCGGGGGGGAGAAAGGGCGUAAGCCUUGAUCGACCCCCGGAGGAAGCACGGGCUAAGUUCGUGCCAGCAGCCGCGGUAAGACGAACCGUGCGAACGUUGUUCGGAAUAACUGGGCAUAAAGGGCGCGUAGGCGGGCCCGAAAGUCAGGGGUGAAAUCCCACGGCUCAACCGUGGAAG
rnacentral:rRNA from 1 species